ACUACCUUACUUGAACAGGAUCUGUUAUAUAGGCUCGUACCUCUAUAUUCAGAGCUCAUAGUCUUGACCAUGGCUCUGUAUUCAUAAGUCCUGAGAUGGUUACAUGGUUGUCUGACAGAUA
rnacentral:snoRNA from 11 species